rnacentral:rRNA from 1 species
AUGUACAUUCCUACAUCAUAGUGUUAAUGCACCGGAUCCCAUUAAAACUCCGCAAUUAAGCGUGCUUGGGCUAGAGUAGUAUUGGGAUGGGUGACUGCUCGAGAAGUCCUGGUGCUUUACAUG